rnacentral:piRNA from 1 species
AAAACAGGAUUAGGAUGAAUUAGACAGUU